GUUUUCCUGGGAUGUGUGACUUUUAGUGCUGAAGUCAAGACAUUCACCCUGCCUCCCAUGCUCCCUGUGCUUACCUUCCCCACAGUGGGGAGCAUUCUACUAUAACUGUUUGCUUACUUGUAGCACUAGAUGCUGUCAGUUCCCUGAAAGCAGGCAUAGGGCUGUUCAUCUCUGUAAUCCUGCAGCAUACCCAGCACAGGUCUGGCACAUGGCAAAUAUUAAAAACCAUAACUGGAAUAGGUGCAUGCAUGUGUGCUAAGUCACUUCAGUCGUGUCCAACUCUUUGCAAUCACAUGGACUGUAGCCACCAGGCUUCUCUGUCCAUGGGAUUCUCCAGGCAAAAAUACUGGAGUCAGUUGUCCUUCCCUUCUCCAGGGGAUCUUCCUAACCCAGGGAUGGAACCUGUGUCUCUUACCUGUCCUGCCUUGCAGGCUUCUCAACCCUUUCUUGAACCAGUGUGUGGAUCCUGAGAUUUGCUCUGCUGCCUCCACUGCCAGAACCCAGAGCAGCUAACGUAUGUUUGGCGGAGGUUCCUGCAUACAGAUCAGGACACUUUUCCUUGCUGCUCCGGUCACCGUUUACCUUUAGUUACUGUCAUAAAGGGGCUGCCCAGGUGGCUCGGUGAUAAAGAAUCUGCCUAUCAAUGCAAGAGACCCAAGAGACUUGGGUUUGAUCCCUAAAUCCAGAAGAUCCCCUGGAGUAGGAAAUGGCAACUUGCUCCAGUGUUCUUGUCUGGAAAUUCCCAUGGACAGAGGAGCCUGCCAGGCCCCAGUCCAUGGGGUCACAAAGGGUCAGACGUGACUGAGUGACUGAGCAUACACCCACUGACAUAAAGACCCUAAGGCCUAGGAAAUAUAUUUUUGUUAUUGUUCAUUUCAUUGAGAGUUUACGUGUCAAGCACUAUGCUUUGCUCUUUCAUUCAUUUUCAGAGUUAAUAUUCAAAAUAGCCCUCAAGGUUUUAGCCCUACAAGCACUACAAUUGCCACCAUUUCCCAAAUGAGGGCCUUGAAGCUCAGAGGAGUUAAGUAACUUGCCCCAAAUGCCACAGUUGGUUACAGGUGACUUGAGGCUAGAACCCAAGUCAGGAGUUUUUGUUUUUAACCACUGCCUUAUACUGCCAGAAGCUGUCUGCGGUAUUGGAGGGAGGCAAGCUGGAGGACAUUGCCAUCAAGUUCAUAGCACACAAACUGUAGCCAGGGACACAUGGGGCUUUUGUCCCUUACCCACAAACCAUCCUGAGCCUGGACGCUUCUGGGGGAAAGGAAGCAUAUGUCACUGAAUUUCAGGGAAAACGGACCCAGUGGUUU
ensembl:lncRNA